GAUAAAGGCUGACAUACCAUAUUAAAAUUGGAAUGAUACAGAGAAGAUUAGCAUGGCCCCUGCACAAGGAUGACACGCAAAUUCGUGAAGCGUUCCAUAUUUGA